rnacentral:lncRNA from 1 species
AAAACUGAUAUAAAUUGUUUGAAAUAGUUCCUUUGUUAUGAUGGUUUAGAUGCACAAGCUAUUAAAAGCUUAUAUGAAAAAUUAAACACUAUGGAGAAUACAAUAAGUAUGCAAUAAACGAUUUAGUUAACGCUUUGAAACCUUCAUCAAGUUCCUCAAAUAAGUUUUUCAUGGUAAAAUGCUAGUUCAGUGGUCUAUGCAGGCAGCAUGUAGAAAACGAAUAAAAACUCAACUACAACAUUCUGAAAUUAGAGCUGAGAUUUCUAAAAGACAGAUUAUAAAACGCCAAAAAAUCGAUGAAAAAGAAAAAAGAAAGUUAGAGCAACAAUUAACAUUAUUAACUAUUAGUGAAAUUCUGAAUUUGUUCAAAAACUUAUCUACUAAGCAAAUUGAUGAUUUAAAUGAUGUUAUGUGUGAAAGAAUUGUUGGGAGAAAUUUUUGCCAUGAAUGGUAUGAUUCCGAUAUGUAUAUUCUUGUAUAUUGGCAGAGUAGAAAAACUUAAGAAAGCACAGAAAGGCAUUAUAUACACUAUUUCUUAUUGGACUAGAGAAGAAAAUGAUACUGAA